rfam:Lactobacillus hayakitensis DSM 18933 = JCM 14209 strain DSM 18933 NODE_73, whole genome shotgun sequence.
GGUAUUGUUUGCCCCACAGUAAGCCCCGUUAAAACUUAUUGUUUGUCAAACAUGCA